UGGGGAAUAUUGCACAAUGGGCGCAAGCCUGAUGCAGCCAUGCCGCGUGUGUGAAGAAGGCCUUCGGGUUGUAAAGCACUUUCAGCGGGGAGGAAGGCGUUAAGGUUAAUAACCUUGGCGAUUGACGUUACCCGCAGAAGAAGCACCGGCUAACUCCGUGCCAGCAGCCGCGGUAAUACGGGGGGUGCAAGCGUUAAUCGGAAUUACUGGGCGUAAAGCGCACGCAGGCGGUUGAUUGAGUCAGAUGUGAAAUCCCCGGGCUUAACCCGGGAAUUGCAUCUGAUACUGGUCAGCUAGAGUCUUGUAGAGGGGGGUAGAAUUCCAUGUGUAGCGGUGAAAUGCGUAGAGAUGUGGAGGAAUACCGGUGGCGAAGGCGGCCCCCUGGACAAAGACUGACGCUCAGGUGCGAAAGCGUGGGGAGCAAACAGG
rnacentral:rRNA from 1 species